GGCUAUGUAGCUCAGCUGGUCAGAGCAAGCGGCUCAUACCCGCUAGGUCGGUGGUUCGGAUCCACCCAUAGCCA
rnacentral:tRNA from 1 species